rnacentral:rRNA from 1 species
UAGGGAAUAUUAGUAAUGGGCGAAAGCCUGAACUAGCAACACCGCGUGUGCGAAGAAGGCCUUCGGGUUGUAAAGCACUUUUUGAGAGGAUGAGGAAGGACGGUACUCUCAGAAUAAGUCUCGGCUAACUACGUGCCAGCAGCCGCGGUAACACGUAGGAGGCGAACGUUAUCCGGAUUUAUUGGGCGUAAAGUGCGUGUAGGUGGUUUGGUAAGUAGAGCGUGAAAGCUCCUGGCUCAACUGGGAGAGGUCGUUCGAAACUGCCAGGCUAGAGGAUGGUAGAGGGAGGUGGAAUUCCGGGUGUAGCGGUGGAAUGCGCAGAUAUCCGGAGGAACACCAGUGGCGAAAGCGGCCUCCUGGACCACUCCUGACACUCAGGCGCGAAAGCUAGGGUAGCAAACG